AGCAGGUGCGGAGCAGUUGCAUCCACGCCGCGGUCGAUCCUGACGUAUCCAGCUUCUCAGCGAGAACAAGCCUUUGGGGGUCAGGGCUCGAUGUGUAUACCCAUCCAGGAAUGGGCUGCUGCCUCUAGGGGUAUAAACAGCCGCCAAGAUGCUGAGAAGCUGGGUUACAACAUUUCUUGCCAAUGUCGGGAUUUAACUAAUAGAGGACAUGCGACAACAACAACUAUCCAGCACCAAAAAAUUUAUUGUUAUAAUUUUUUUAAUUGCUUUGAUGUUUUUUGUUUUAGUUUUGCCAAAAGAACUUGAAAGUUAAGAAGACGAAACAUUAUAAUGGAAGAUGUCAUAUUCUAUAGAGAACAUAAAAUUGAUCUACAAAUGUCAGAAUGAGAUAACGCAAGGUUGUGUUUCAUGUGUUCACGAGCAGUUCGUAGUGUAGUGUAGUGUAGUCAUAGCAAGCGCGUAGUCGUAGGUUGUAGUUGUAGCUGUAGUCGUAAUCUAGAAGUAGUGUAGUGGACUGCAAAAUGAACACUGAGAUACAAUCGUUGCAAAUGUAACUGACUGCGUUUAUUCAGAGAUGUGAAGAUGCAGAUCGACAGUAAUUGUUCCGGAACGACCUGAAGAAACACUCAACUCUUGCCACCGUCGACGUGUACCAAUAGAGACCCGGGGCAAAGAAGCAACAUUUUGUUUUGAUAUCACGAUUUUUAAAUAAAUAAAAUCGAGACAUUAUUACAAU